rnacentral:rRNA from 1 species
GAUGAACGCUGGCGGCGUGCCUAAUACAUGCAAGUCGAGCGAACAGACGAGGAGCUUGCUCCUCUGACGUUAGCGGCGGACGGGUGAGUAACACGUGGAUAACCUACCUAUAAGACUGGGAUAACUUCGGGAAACCGGAGCUAAUACCGGAUAAUAUAUUGAACCGCAUGGUUCAAUAGUGAAAGACGGUUUUGCUGGCACUUAUAGAUGGACCCGCGCCGCAUUAGCUAGUUGGUAAGGUAACGGCUUACCAAGGCAACGAUGCGUAGCCGACCUGAGAGGGUGGUCGGCCACACUGGAACUGAGACACGGUCCAGACUCCUACGGGAGGCAGCAGUAGGGAAUCUUCCGCAAUGGGCGAAAGCCUGACGGAGCAACGCCGCGUGAGUGAUGAAGGUCUUCGGAUCGUAAAACUCUGUUAUUAGGGAAGAACAAAUGUGUAAGUAACUAUGCACGUCUUGACGGUACCUAAUCAGAAAGCCACGGCUAACUACGUG